CUAUGAUGUUUCUGACACUGAGACAGUCAGAGCCUUGUCCCAGUCUCUAGACCUGCCUGUCUGUGUGGUGGAUGACCUCCUGCCCUCUGAAGCUGUCAAUGAGAUGGAGCAGAGCAAUUCUGCCAGGAGCAGAGCAACCUCAGUGACGGAAACCACAGAAGAGGGGAAGCUCAACAGUGUGGAAGAUCUGACACUUAUGGACUUCCUUCAAAACCUAACUGAGAAGUAUGUUCUGUUUUCUUUGGUACUAUCACUCCUUCAAGGAAAUAGGAUCAAAUUAGAAACUGAUUCAUUGGAAAAAAAUAUUCAGUCCAAGAAAAGUUGUCACAUUGCAAUUUUGCCAAAACAACUGACACAAAGCAAGUAUAACUUCACCGUCAGGCAAAUAUUUAAAUAAAAACAAUUCUGCCACGCAUCCUGAUAUGACAACAUUUCUAAGGCAUCCUGAUAUGACAACAUUUCUAAGGUAUCCUGAUAUGACAACAUUUCUAAGGCAUCCUGAUAUGACAACAUUUCUAAGGCAUCCUGAUAUGACAACAUUUCUAAGGCAUCCUGAUAUGACAACAUUUCUAAGGCAUCCUGAUAUGACAACAUUUCUAAGGCAUCCUGAUAUGACAACA